ACCAACAGCAGCAACGGCUGCAAGCAGCAAGCGUAUAACCAACAACCAACAACAAACACAUAACAACAACCGACAACAACAACAACGCGCUCGUGUCUAAAGUCGAGUGUUUUACCAUUUCUAGCCGCCGUUCGACUACUAUAUGUUUUGCGCGACUUUUUUUGCUUAUCAAAUUCCACAGAAAUAUACCGAAAAUAAAAACAAAAUAAAUCUGUAAUAAA